ensembl:lncRNA
GGAAACUUGAAGAAUAGCAAAGUUCUGCCUGAAGCAAAGAUGGUGAUUCAGCUGGAAGAGUAUUUUCUGAGGAAUCAACGCCCCAGCUUAGUUACCUGGCAGAUCUGGUGCAGCUACCAUGAGAAGUCCUACUGGUGCACCUGGACUGAGUGAGACGCUUAAAUUCACAAGGAGGACCCACUACCAAUGGCUGCCUUUCUGCCAAAGGGCCCUGCUCUCUGUACAGGCUCUUAAUCUUGGCAUUCCUGUGGCUUCUCUAAAUGCUUCUCCAAAAUGUCGGACCAUUUCCAAGAAAAAGUCUCCAUUCUUCCCCAGCCCUGGCAGAGUACAGCAGCUCCAUUCCUUCCUACUCUAUGUAUGACAGUCUGGUCUCUGAUGUUUUUUCAGUGAAUUAACUCCAAGAAUUUAAAAGAAAGAACAUUUCAAUAUGUUUUUCUGACAGGCCCUCCCAUGUCUGAACCUUCCCAGGCUGAAGGACUACAAGGCAUCUUCAUUGAUAUAAACUGCCGUCAUGAAAGAGGAGCAGCGAGUUGAGACCUUAAGCUGUUUUGUCAGAUUGUACUUUGGUAAUGGAUCUGUGGGUCUGCCGAUAUGUUACCCAAAGGUGUCUUUUCAAAACAGUCAGUCAUGUUUCUUCUUACCUAAUUAUAGGGGCAUCUGUUUCAAAAUGCAACUAAUCCCUCCAGGUUUUGUGGGCUGAGGAAAGGGGCGGAAGGGGUCAGUUGGAACUUGUGCUCUUAUCCCUCUUGCAAGAUUAUUCCCUAAUAUUCACAAAAGUAUUUAGAGCAUUGACAAGUAUUUGCCCUGACAAGCCCGCGGAGAACUCGAUACACUCUUGUCUGCCUCAGAUAAACCGUUCCCUGAAAAAAGACAUCAGCAGAGCAUGGGAAGUUGUUUCACCUUGCUUUGAUUAAAUAUAUAUAUAUAUAAUACAAUUGGUAAUCUCCCUAAAAAUAUUGGCAAUCUAAUGCCUAUGGGAAUGAGCAAUUUCUAUAGUGCUGGUUAAACUGGUCUCAGCACAGAUGGGCACUGUGCAGACUCUUUCCAUGCAACUAUUACGAGCCCUGUAACUCUACUGCUAUACCAAAGCCAGAAUAGUGUAUGCUGUGGCAUGUUCUGGUGUGUCGCAGGGAGAUCUGUACUCUGUUCAGCUCAUGUUCUUGCUCCUUCUCUUACCCACCCUGCCCUGUGUGAGGUCUCAUGAUGCAUUUAGGAAGAAAGUUCUGCAGUAGGUGAUAGAUCAGCAUGGGGGAAUGGCAAACCAGGAGCGUGCAGCAAUGGUGUUUACUGCCCUGCAUGAGAGAUUUGUGUGCAGCCUUCAGCUCUGAGCUAUUCCACCAAAGCAGCUUUGCUGACUCUUUAAAACAUGUAGCCCAAGUCUCCCACUUGUCUGACAUUGUUCCAGAAAUCUCUUUUUAGCUUUCCAUCACUGACCGCUGUUCCAGAAGUACACUUCACAAAAGCUUUGACGCUGUGCUCAGAAUUCUGUUUGGAAGGGUAAAAUUACCAUAUAUCCUCUAGACACUUGGUGCUGGAAGAAAGGCAAUAGCUCAGCUG